rnacentral:rRNA from 1 species
CCUACGGGAGGCAGCAGUAGGGAAUAUUGCUCAAUGGGGGAAACCCUGAAGCAGCAACGCCGCGUGGAGGGUGAAGGAGCGGUGCGGGUUGGAAACUUCUUUUGUCAGGGAAGAGUAGAAGACGGUACCGGACGAAUAAGCCACGGAUAACUACGUGCCAGCAGACGCGGUAAGACGGAUGUGGCAAGCGUUGUCCGGAUUUACUGGGUGUCAAGGGCGUGUAGCCGGUUUGACAAGUCAGAUGUGACAUCCUGCGGCGUAACCGCAGAACGGCAUUGGAAACUGUUGAUCUUGAGUACUGGAGACGCAGCCGGAAUUCCUAUUGUAGCGGU